UUAUUUAUAUGGUUAUUUGAUUUGUAUCAGUGACGUGGCUUUGGGAAGAUGUAAGGAGCGGAUUGAAAUAAUAGCAAAUGCUCUGCGAUUAGAAGGAUUUUCACGUAUUGAUGCAUUCAUGAAUGUAGACAGUGGGGAGGUUUUGGUCAUCGAGGUGAAUACAGUACCUGGAAUGACUCCUUCCACUGUUUUGAUCCAUCAGGCACUUACAGAGCAACCGCCAAUGUAUCCUCAGCAGUUCUUCCGUACUCUGCUUGACUUGGCAUUAGAGAGGUCAAGUUAAAUUCUUGUUUCCAUCGCUUUCUAAUGGAAACAAUGUGUGCCUUAAGUCAUUUCUUUGAACUUCAUUGUGGAUCUCUCUUAUAUAAUAGAUUUUGGUUGAAGUUCAUUGUCUACUUGAUUGGGAUGACUGAAAAUAAAACUCUAGGGACUAUUGUGUAGGUCUGC